rnacentral:rRNA from 1 species
GACGAACGCUGGCGGCGUGCCUAAUACAUGCAAGUCGAGCGGACGGAUGGGAGCUUGCUCCCGGCCGGCACGCGCGGACGGGUGGUUAACAACGUGGCCACCUGCCUUUAAGACUGGGAAAACUCCGGGAAACCGGGGCUAAUACCCGGUAACUUUUUUCCUUACCUUAGGGGAAGGUGAAAAAUUGCCUCCUGCUAACACUUACCGGUUGGCCCGGCGGCGCAUUAGCUAGUUGUGGAGGUAACGGCUCACCAAGGCGACGAUGCGUAGCCGACCUGAGAGGGUGAUCGGCCACACUGGGACUGAGACACGGCCCAGACUCCUACGGGAGGCAGCAGUAGGGAAUCUUCCGCAAUGGACGAAAGUCUGACGGAGCAACGCCGCGUGAGUGAUGAAGGUUUUCGGAUCGUAAAACUCUGUUGUCAGGGAAGAACAAGUACCGGAGUAACUGCCGGUACCUUGACGGUACCUGACCAGAAAGCCACGGCUAACUACGUG